rnacentral:rRNA from 1 species
UACAGAGGUCCCAAGCGUUGUUCGGAAUCACUGGGCGUAAAGGGUGCGUAGGCGGCGGUGUAAGUCAGAUGUGAAAUCCCAGGGCUCAACCUUGGAACUGCAUCCGAUACUGCAUUGCUAGAGUAUUGGAGGGGAGUCUGGAAUUCACGGUGGAGCAGUGAAAUGCGUGGAUAUCGUGAGGAACACUAGUGGCGUAGGCGAGACUCUGGACAAUUACUGACGCUGAGGCACGAAGGCCAGGGGAGCAAACGGG